rnacentral:ncRNA from 1 species
UUUUUUCAGGGCAGGGUGCAAGUCCCUACCGGCGGUAUAGCCCGCGAGCCGAAAGGUACGAUCCGGUGAGAUUCCGGAGCCGACAGUACAGUCUGGACGAAAGAAAA